rnacentral:rRNA from 1 species
GACGAACCGUGCGAACGUUAUUCGGAAUCACUGGGCUUAAAGCGCGUGUAGGCGGAAGACCGCGUCGGUCGCUGAAAGCCCCCGGCUCAACCGGGGAAGUGGCGCCGAAACGGGUUUUCUGGAGGGGGGUAGGGGACGCUGGAACUUCCGGUGGAGCGGUGAAAUGCGUUGAGAUCGGAAGGAACGCCCGCGGCGAAAGCGAGCGUCUGGACCCCACCUGACGCUGAGACGCGAAAGCCAGGGGAGCGAACGGG